rnacentral:rRNA from 1 species
UACGGGAGGCAGCAGUGGGGAAUAUUGCACAAUGGGCGCAAGCCUGAUGCAGCCAUGCCGCGUGUAUGAAGAAGGCCUUCGGGUUGUAAAGUACUUUCAGUCGUGAGGAAGGUGUUAAGGUUAAUAACCUUAGCAAUUGACGUUAGCGACAGAAGAAGCACCGGCUAACUCCGUGCCAGCAGCCGCGGUAAUACGGAGGGUGCGAGCGUUAAUCGGAAUUACUGGGCGUAAAGGGCACGCAGGCGGUUAAUUAAGUUGGAUGUGAACUCCCCGGGCUUAACCUGGGAAUGGCAUUCAAGACUGGUUAGCUAGAGUCUUGUAGAGGGGGUAGAAUUCCAUGUGUAGCGGUGAAAUGCGUAGAGAUGUGGAGGAAUACCGGUGGCGAAGGCGGCCCCUGGACAAAGACUGACGCUCAUGUGCGAAAGCGUGGGGAGCAAACAGGGAUUAGAUACC